GUUCUGAGAAAAGCUCUGACACAGAAUAUCCGUCAAUAACAGGAUACUAAACGAGGCAUCAAGAUGUUUUGCGGGGUGUAGCAGUAUAAUCACUAUUUUCCUGGCUAAUAAAAGCCUUUUGUCGUACACACGCACAUCCUUGCCCUCCCCCCCUCCCUCCCGAUUCGCUGUGUGAGGUUCAAUUCUUUUUUUUGCUCAAACUCAAACACGACGAAGCAAAAACAAUCACGCAGACAUGUUCACCAUCUGGCCCAGAGUGGCGCUUUAACCUCGGAGACGCCGAGCUGGCAUGAAGCGGAGAAGAGACUCAGCAGCCCGAGUGCCGCAGGGUAAACAUUCCCCAAAUAAGCCAUCAAGUAUUGAUUUGACCUGCAGGUCAAUACCAGCAGUAAUGUGUCGGUGUUUGCAUGUUAUGUGCAUCGUUCAGCCACUAUUUCUGUGUGCAAGGAUGAUCUUAUCUUAACGACACAACGUGGUAUCAAACCUCUCAUCUAACUCUCGUGUUGCUGAAACAACGAGGCGAUUCCAUCUAAAUUACAAACCCUCCUUACUUUGGCACGACGAUGAGCUUUUCCAUGACAUCCAACCUGGUUUUUCCAGUUAGGGAGAGAAGGCCUAACCAGUAUACAGGAGUAUGUUGAAACAGGAAACAAACGCCUUGCUGUUUAAAAUCAGUCCAAACUGGUUCACGCUGAUCCGGGUCUUUUCUUUACCUAUAAACUUUUCAGUUUCACACCUUGACUUAAG
ensembl:lncRNA